rnacentral:rRNA from 1 species
AUUGAACGCUGGCGGCAGGCCUAACACAUGCAAGUCGAACGAGCGGCGGACGGGUGAGUAAUGUCUGGGAAACUGCCCGUUGGAGGGGGAUAACUACUGGAAACGGUAGCUAAUACCGCAUACCAUCGGAUGUGCCCAGAUGGGAUUAGCUAGUAGGUGGGGUAACGGCUCACCUAGGCGACGAUCCCUAGCUGGUCUGAGAGGAUGAUCAGCCAAACUGGAACGGAGACACGGUCCAGACGCCUACGGGAGGCAGCAGUGGGGAAUAUUGCACAAUGGGCGCAAGCCUGAUGCAGCCAUGCCGCGUGGAUGAAGAAGGGCUUCGGGUUGUAAAGUACUUUCAGCGAGGAGGCGUUACUCGCAGAAGAAGCACCGGCUAACUCCGUGCCAGCAGCCGCGGUAAUAC